rnacentral:rRNA from 1 species
GAGCACCUGCCGUUUGGUGGUGGGGGGAGUACGGCCGGGCUACGCCCGGGUAAUACCGCAUACGGUUGCCGAGGGGAGUCCCUUGGCAAAGAAACCUCCGGGGCACAGAGAGGGGCUCGCGGCCUAUCAGCUAGUUGGUGAGGUAAUGGCUCACCAAGGCGACGACGGGUAGCUGGUCUGAGAGGAUGGCCAGCCACAUUGGGACUGAGAUACGGCCCAG